rnacentral:tRNA from 1 species
GGAGAGGUCGCAUAGUGGCCUAGUGCGCUUGCUUGGAAAGCAAGUAAGGGUGAAAGCCCUUCGGGAGUUCGAAUCUCCCCCUCUCCGCCA